GUCCAAGUGGCACUAUAAUUUUAUUUUUUAAUAUUUUAUUAUGGCUUUGCUAACAAAGACAAUAAAUAAUGAAAGAAGGCGUGGAUUAUACCAUCCAUGGGAAAAACUGAUCAAAAAUGUUCAUCGAGACAAUUUCCACCAAGCUCACAACUCGGUAAAUAAUCCAGAAUAUCCUGAGAAAAAAGUUGAGAUACCCAAUGAGGACCGUGCUAGGUUCAAAAUAAUUGGCAAUAGAGUGACGAAGGAAUUUAUUUACUGUGAGAAACUGCUUAAAGACUUACAUAAAUAUCGUUGGAAAGUAUUUGACGCUCCCGAAAUUCGUGGGGUCACAACGGUGGAAUGGCCGCAAGUAUGGAAGGAUAUUAAAAUAAAAUAUGGUGAAUUAGCUUAUUGUCUACAGAGCCAAGUCGCAGUUAUUCUUAACGAUAAAUUUCUUGGCGGUGAAAAGGAACUAAGAGAAGUCAUCGAGUCAAGAUACCAUUACAGAUUAAAUGUAGAUUAUUAUAAGGAGGGCGUUAACAAUUUUGUUGAUUUUAUCAGAGGUUCUGGACGACCCUGCGUUUAUAUGCAUAUAACAAUAAAUUUUGUACAUGUAGGAACGUUAAUUUUUAUGCUUUAUUCAGAUUUAGUACCAUACACUUGCGAAAAUUUCCUACGACUAUGUCAGACAAAUAAGGGCGGCUACAAAGGAACUCCCAUACACCGCAUCGUUAAAGAUGGCUGGAUUCAAUGUGGAGGUUUUGGUCUUAAAUCCACAGAUUUGGAUUGUGAAAAUUUUAUUGUACCUCAUGACAGGCGAGGUGUUCUUUGUAUGGCUAACGAUGGAAGGCAUAAAGACUGUUCAACGCAAUUCUUUGUACUACUACAACCGGCGCUUUGGAUGGCUCACAAAUAUGUAGCGUUCGGACAGCUUAUAGACGGAGAGUUAACUUUGAAGAAGAUCGAAUCUGUUCCAACCUUCUAUGAAUCACCAGACUAUUGUAUAUACAUUCAUGAUGCUGGGAUUUUAAAUUUAGAAUGCCACGAUAUAAGAAUUAACAAAAAUACUAACGAAUAUAUAGAUGGCCAUAUAGAAGAUUUGAAUUUAUUAGGUGAAAUGUUGUACGAGAAUUUAAUGGAAAGACUUUUCUUGGAACUGGAACUGAGACUCAUAGCAAAAGAAGAAAUGGAAGGAGAAGGUGAAUCGAAGGAAUUAAAAGACGAUGGAAAAAAUAUACGUGCCACUGAAAGAUUUAUUCGUAAAAAAGAAGAAAUUGAAAAAUUACGGACGAGUCAGUUAACAACUAGCAGAGCGUCGUCGAUGGUGAGCGAAGCACAUCAAGUUAAUAAUGAUUUUGACGUGGAAGUAUACGAAUAUGAGCCCGAGGAGUCCUCGUACCAGCACGUGUCCUUGAAAACGGAGAGCUUAGUCGUGAAGCCAGAAAAACCGUUUUACAUACCACUCACAGAUGUUCCUUAUCCCGAUGAAGUUGAUUCCACUUAUGACUUAAAGAAAUUUUUAAAAGGUGAUUAUUGCCUCGAAAGUGACCUACAACACCAUCCUCCGAAGAAGAUAAUAGCGAAACACUUAUCUUUCGUAUCCGAGAUGUAUCAGUUCGACAUAGAGUCUGAAGUAAGCUCGGUCGAAUCGUUGUCAGAAGACGAUGAACAAGAAAUAAAAAGAUAUAUCAAACUUAAUGUAGACCGAGUGAGUUUCGCUGGUGAUGUUAUAAGAAACAUAGCAAGGGGCUAUGGAAAAUAUAAUAUUUUUGAAGGUACCAGAAAAUCGGAGCUAAUAACUGACGAGGAGUUACGAAGAUUUAGACUAGCCUCCAUGGAUCAUCGAGCAAGGGAAGGCAAUGAAAAAAAAGUCUCAUUAAGUCUGCCAGCCUAUAGAAAAGAACCGAUGAAAAUAAAAAGGAGACAAACUGGUUUUGUUAGAAUGGAAGACAUAGAAAAAAUACAUUCAAAAUAUAGAAUAGGCAUGGACGAAACCGCCGAACAAGAAGAAGACGAAUUUGUGUCUCGCAAAGUACGUAUAGCGGAAUCAGCUAUCGCCACCCAGACUGGAACGAAACCAAAUCGUAGACCAACGGGUUUUGUGAGAGCCACAGAACUCACGGAGUCUGAUACACAAGUCAGAAGACAAUCUGCCCUCACUCGUCUGUACGAUAAUAUAGCUAUUGAAGACGAAAGUGCCAUAACGCUUAAGGAUUACAAACCAAUUACCAAAGUGUCGCAGAAGAAUUUCCUCUUUACCGCAUCACCAUUGAAUCGUGUGAAAUAUUACGAGGAAUAUUCAAAGGAGUCCCAUUUCCGUCCGUCCAUCACGGUGGACAAAAGCUCCUACGAGCAAGUACUUAAUAUACAACACGGGAGAAAAGCAGCGAGAAAGAUAUCAUCAGAUUACGUAAAAACAAUCGAUCAGAUAGAGCAAAGGAUUGAGAAUUCCAUACGAAGCAUCGAGUUCGCGAAAACACGUCCUUCGAUGACUGUCUCCGAGUACCAGCAAAGGAAUCAAAAAUAUAGUAAUGAACUGGCCAAGAAAAAUGAAUCGUUACACGGAUUACGUUUACCAGGCGAUACACCUCUCUAUUCAAUGAGUGACAGCCAUAAAAUAAAAAAAGAUGAAACCAGCAGUGGUAUAUGGUCGUAAAUAUAUGACCCUGGCGGAAUGGACCCGAAAAUACUUGUAUCAAUCCGACCUAAGCGGUUAAAGGGUUAAUUGUCUCAUCAACAAUAUUUAAUUUCAGGUAUCGAAUCCCACCAACAUUUAACGACGAGCUGUACUAGUUUGUUUAUUCCUAUUGCAUAAAUUAUUUUUUGUUAGAUUUCAAUUAAUAAAAACCA